GGCUACUACAUCUAAGGAAGGCAGCAGGCGCGCAAAUUUCCCAAUGCUCAUCGAGCGAGGAAGUGACGACCAAUAACAAUGUGCGAUUCUUUAUGGAUUGUGCAAUUGGAAUGACAACAAUGUAAAGUGUUUAAGGAGGAUCAAUUGGAGGGCAAGUCUGGUGCCAGCAGCCGCGGUAAUUCCAGCUCCAAUAGGAUAUAUCAAAAUUGUUGCAGUUAAAAAGCUCGUAGUUGAAUGUCUGUUGUGUUUUCGUUUGUUUCUUUGAUAUUGAAAAAUGUGAAAGAGACAAAGGCACAGCAUCUUGUGGAAUACUAUUUUGUUUGUGUGGUUCACUCCAUAUAAAUAAAAUACCACUCCGUCACUGAGAGCAAAUUGGAGUGCUCAAAGCAGGCUUUAUAGCUUUGAACAUUUUAGCUUGGAAUGACAAGAUAAGACUUUGGUUUUAUUUUGUUGGUUAUGAAACAAAAGUAAUGAUUAACAGAAACAGGCGGGGGUAUCCGUAUUGAAAGGUCAGAGGUGAAAUUCUUGGAUUCUUUCAAGACGAACGACUGCGAAAGCAUUUACCAAGGAUGUUUUCAUUAAUCAAGAACGAAAGCUCGGGGAUCGAAGAUGAUUAGAUACCAUCGUAGUCCGACGCCAUAAGCGAUGCCGACUCGGGAUUAUUUUGUCUUCGUAAUUCAAAAAGAAACAAAAUAGCACCGUAUGAGAAAUCAAAGUCUUUGGGUUCCGGGGGGAGUAUGGUCGCAGGGCUGAAACUUAAAGGAAUUGACGGAAAGACACACAAGAGGUGGAGCCUGCGGUUUAAUUUGACCCAACACGGGGAAACUUACCAGGUCCAGACAUAAUGAGGAUUGACAGUUUGAAAGCACUUUCUUGAUCUUAUGGGUGGUGGUGCAUGGCCGUUCUUAGUUGGUGGAGUGAUUUGUCUGGUUGAUUCCGAUAACGAACGAGACGGGGAAAGCUAACUAGUUUUCGUGAAUAACUUGCGUUAUUCCAAACUUCUUUGCCUGACAACUUGGUUUUACCAAGAGGAAGCGCCCCGCAAUAACAGGUCUGUGAUGCCCUUAGAUGUUCUGGGCUACACGCGCGCUACAAUGAUGAGUUCAACGAGUUUUUUAUCUCCUUAUCCGGAAGGAUGUGGGUAAUCUUUUCAAUGCUCAUCGUGAUGGGGCUAGAUUUUUGCAAUUAUUAAUCUUCAACGAGGAAUCUCUAGUAUGUGCAAGUCAUCAACUUGCGCAGAAUGCGUCCCUGUCUUUUGUACACACCGCCCGUCGCACCUACCGAUUGGACGAUCCGGCAAGAAGUUUGGAGAUUGUCUUUUUGAUUUCGAUCGAUUAGGUAGUCAAAGCUCUUCAAACCUUAUCGUCUAGAGGAAGGUGAAGUCGUAACAAGGUC
rnacentral:rRNA from 1 species